rnacentral:lncRNA from 1 species
AUAGAUGGCUGGGGGCCGGUGACUCUGGCUUUCACUGCUAGAUCGCACUGUGCCCCUGCCCUGGGUGAACACCUUCAAUCAUCCUUCCCUGCUGGAGAGAACCAGGGGCUGGUGUGCCUGCAGCUCCCUUCGCCUUCUGAAUGGUUGUGAUUUUUGUGCUUCAAGGAGGAAAGAAAAGGGAUUCCUUUUUACAGCACAUGUUUAUAACCCCAGCCGGUAAAAGCGGCUGUGGAAGGCCUCCUGUGCUUUACACACAUUCUCUGCUGGAUCUGAGUAAUACUUUGUUCCAGAGAGGAGGCCAUCAUUUAGAGAGGUUGGGUCGGGAAGUUGUCAGGACAGCUUGGUGGAGGCCCACCCCUCC